AGCCACUGAGACCCGAACA
rnacentral:misc_RNA from 1 species